GCCCUUAGAGUUUGAUCCUGGCUCAGAAUGAACGCUGGCGGCAGGCUUAACACAUGCAAGUCGAACGGAAACGAUAAAGAGCUUGCUCUUUAGGCGUCGAGUGGCGGACGGGUGAGUAACGCGUGGGAACCUACCUUAGUGUUGGGGACAACAUAUGGAAACGUAUGCUAAUACCGAAUACGCUCUACGGAGUAAAGAUGCCCACUUCUUGAAAGGUAUCGCACUAAGAUGGGCCCGCGUGAGAUUAGCUAGUUGGUAGGGUAAAGGCCUACCAAGGCGACGAUCUCUAGCUGGUUUGAGAGGAUGAUCAGCCACACUGGGACUGAGACACGGCCCAGACUCCUACGGGAGGCAGCAGUGGGGAAUAUUGCACAAUGGAGGAAACUCUGAUGCAGCAACGCCGCGUGGAGGAUGACACAUUUCGGUGCGUAAACUCCUUUUAUAUGGGAAGAUAAUGACGGUACCAUAUGAAUAAGCACCGGCUAACUCUGUGCCAGCAGCCGCGGUAAUACAGAGGGUGCAAGCGUUAUUCGGAAUUACUGGGCGUAAAGCGCGCGUAGGCGGAUUAAUAAGUCAGUUGUGAAAGCCCUGGGCUCAACCUAGGAACUGCAUCUGAAACUGUUAAUCUAGGGUUUAAGAGAGGGAAGGGGAAUUCCAGGUGUAGCAGUGAAAUGCGUAGAUAUCUGGAGGAACAUCGGUGGCGAAGGCGCCUUCCUGGCUUAAAACUGACGCUGAGGUGCGAAAGCGUGGGUAGCGAACGGGAUUAGAUACCCCGGUAGUCCACGCCGUAAACGAUGUCAACUAGCUGUUGGUCUUAUUAAAAAGAUUAGUAGCGUAGCUACGCGAUAAGUUGACCGCCUGGGGAGUACGGUCGCAAGAUUAAAACUCAAAGGAAUUGACGGGGGCCCGCACAAGCGGUGGAGCAUGUGGUUUAAUUCGGUGCAACGCGAAGAACCUUACCAUCCCUUGACAUGUAGCGAAUUUUCCAGAGAUGGAUUAGUGCCUUCGGGAACGCUAACACAGGUGCUGCAUGGCUGUCGUCAGCUCGUGUCGUGAGAUGUUGGGUUAAGUCCCGUAACGAGCGCAACCCUUAUCUUUAGUUGCUACCAUUUAGCUGAGAACUCUAGAGAGACUGCCGGUGAUAAACCGGAGGAAGGCGGGGACGACGUCAAGUCAUCAUGGCCCUUAUGGGAUGGGCUACACACGUGCUACAAUGGGAGGUACAAAGAGCAGCCAACUGGCAACAGUGCGCGAAUCUCAAAAAACCUUUCGUAGUCCGGAUCGGAGUCUGCAACUCGACUCCGUGAAGUCGGAAUCGCUAGUAAUCGAGAAUCAGAAUGUCACGGUGAAUACGUUCCCGGGCCUUGUACACACCGCCCGUCACACCAUGGGAGUGGGUUGCAAAAGAAGUAGGUAGUCUAACCUUCGGGAGGGCGCCUACCACUUUGUGAUUCAUGACUGGGGUGAAGUCGUAACAAGGUAACCAAGGGC
rnacentral:rRNA from 1 species